UCCUUGGGCAACCUGUUCCAGUGUUCAUGCAGUGUUCAGGCCAUCGUCAUCAGCUGGCCAAGCAGCAUCUCAGUAUAAGGGCAAUACCAGCUUUGAGAAUCCCGUUUUCAGUCAGCCCAGUGCAUUGCUGGGGCAGUGGGUUUCUCAGCUGCAUGGAUCUGUUAGUCAAGCUGUGGUGUGCUGUCCGGGGAAUAUCGUGAGAUUAACUAGACAGAACAUGUUUCUCAGUCAGCCUUCGUAAAAAUACGAAGGUAAAAAAGGCUGAUGAAGUGGCACUGCCUGCCCCUCCUUGUAUAGGGCCUGUCUUCCACCCUGAAUCUCACAAAUGUGCUGUUGAGCUGCAGCCAAAUUUGCUGGAAAAGCUGACAUUUCAGUUAGAUUACUAUAGAUUUUGUGAGGUGAAUGCAGGGAGAUUGCUUGGCUACUGUGCAUGCUGGUCAAGGGCAUCAAAGGAAGAGGAUGCAGAGCUUGUCGCCACCUGGCCUGACUAAACUACAUAAUACCAUAUUUAAGAUUCGCUAAAGGUGUGAUUUAAUCACCUUUCUAACUGAAGAUAUUCUGCUGCAAAUACCUGAUCAUAUCUCCAUAUCUGAUCAUAAAUGUUAGAAAUUAAAACAAUUUUUGGUUGACAGACGUAUUUGUCCAGCAUACCAAAGUGCAAUUCUUGCUAGAAGACUUAGGUACCAAGCUGAUGUUUUUACUGAAAACAAUGAGCUGAUCUUGUCCUGCUAUAGAGAAUUUCCAAGUCCAGGCUCAAGGCGAUCGCUGUGUUAGUCAUCUUGAAUAAGAAGAUCCUGACAAGUGUCUUGGUUCCUCACGGAAAUGCUUGUCUUGAUACAAGGCGACGUUUAGAUCUGUACCUUCUGUUGCAGAAAAAGUCCGCAAGUGGCCACGGAGCCUUCAUGUGAGUGAGGAGCAAUUCGGAAUGCAUGGGUGGAUUUUUUUUACUUUUGCGGAAAUCUGCCUGCUCUUUUAUAUUAAUGCCUGCAAAGUGCUUCAAGAUUAUAAGAAGAAGUUGUGCUGCCUUGAAAACGGCAUUGCUUUUUGGUGUGGUUCUUCAGCUUAUUCCCUGGAACUGUAUUCUGCAGUGCCAGAGUUCCAGCUGCAUUCCAAUGGGAGUGGAAGAUGACUCGUUUGUGUCCAGUCAGUGCAGGGCACUGCAGGGUUUUAAGAGCGUUGUCUUAGUUGCAGAGCAGUGCCGGAUCCAAAGACCGUACAGCUGCAUCGCUGCAGUACUGCAUAAAAGCUAAUUAGCCCAGCCAACAAGGAGAAGAUGCCCGAUCAGUAACGGCUCGAUCAGUAGCAGCUGUUGUUGAGAAUAAGGCUUGUGCUAGAGAAGCUGAUGUGUUAAAGAAGUGCUGUCAGCACCUGAGGCAGGCUGUGAUGGCUUGUCUUCAGCAGUAGACUCCUGUAUUUGCCCUGCAGGAGAUGAUGGCAGCUUGUCGCAAAAUUUUUGUAGCAGAACAUCUUUCUGAUGCUCUGUGCUUGCCCCAGGAUGAAAGAUGCCCUCAAUGUUGCCCUUAACGUGGAGAUCUGGUUGCGAUGCCAGCAUGCACAGCCUUGAAUACAUCAGUGCUCACUGUAGGAUCCUUUGGGAGCUGUAGAGACACAAGGUCAGCUUCAGCCCUCACGUAAACUGGUGUGAUGCCCGCUUGACCCAAAGCUCUGUCAGUGUAAGACAGAGCUGUCAGCUUUCACCUCUCUUGAUGUCCUUGAGGAAAGGAUGGAUUUGAAAGAUGUCACAUCACUAUCAGCUUAUGCUAAUGCCAUAGGUGAGUCUCACGAGGCUCUAAGAGUAAACCACAUUAAAAAAAAUAGUUUUUACAACUUUUUUUUCUCAUUAGCGAUUUUCCUAAGAAUACCACAAGUGGUGAUCAGUGCUUUUUAUUUUUCUUUUUCCCUUUCUUUUUCUUUCUCCCUGAAGCAAAAACUUUUCUUAGGGUUGAGUUGCCAUUAUCAAUGGCAAGAUUUUAAUUAUCAGCGAAUCUUCAGUAUAUGUUUACUCUACAGCAAGACACAUGCCCAUGCAGGUGUCAGCAUAAAUAAAACAAGAAUGUACUGCGAAUAUUAGGGUGUUUGCUUUAUCUGCUGUAAGACGAGAGCAUUUACACAGGAGCAAGGUAGUUCUUAUUUCUUUGCUAAAGAAAUAAAAGGUGCGGAGGAUCCUUCAGUGAGAGGCAACCAUCAAAAGAAAGCUUGCAAAACCCUUUUUCCUGCAAACCCCGCGAGAGAUACUGCACGGAGACAACAGGAGCAAAUGUCAAGACAAAACCAGACAAAUGAAAAUACGGAGCAAAUGAUUCAUCAUAGUUUGAGCUUCCUUUUGUUAUUCAAGUCAUCAGCAGAUUUAUCUGCAGCAAAGCCCAGUGAAGCCAAUAUUGCUAGUGAAAAUGUUCCUUCAUUUUUAUUUUGCUUCUCUUUUCUCAGUCUCUUUCACCUGCAGACAGAAAUGUAAGUAAGCAAGCAUACUCAGAAUAUAAAGCUGUGAUUAAAACAGUACAAC
ensembl:lncRNA